rfam:Chryseobacterium sp. Leaf201 contig_9, whole genome shotgun sequence.
UUGCGACAGGGAUUGCAGCGGCAUCCUUUUGUGAAACAAAAGAUACAGCGGAAAGCCCGGCCGUUC